rnacentral:rRNA from 1 species
AGUGAACGCUGGCGGUAGGCCUAACACAUGCAAGUCGAACGGCAGCACAGUAAGAGCUUGCUCUUACGGGUGGCGAGUGGCGGACGGGUGAGGAAUACAUCGGAAUCUACUUUUUCGUGGGGGAUAACGUAGGGAAACUUACGCUAAUACCGCACACGACCUACGGGUGAAAGCAGGGGAUCUUCGGACCUUGCGCGAUUGAAUGAGCCGAUGUCGGAUUAGCUAGUUGGCGGGGUAAAGGCCCACCAAGGCGACGAUCCGUAGCUGGUCUGAGAGGAUGGUCAGCCACACCGGAACUGAGACACGGUCCCGACUCCUACGGGAGGCAGCAGUGGGGAAUAUUGGACAAUGGGCGCAAGCCUGAUCCAGCCAUACCGCGUGGGUGAAGAAGGCCUUCGGGUUGUAAAGCCCUUUUGUUGGGAAAGAAAAGCAGCAGGUUAAUACCCCGCUGUUCUGACGGUACCCAAAGAAUAAGCACCGGCUAACUUCGUG